rnacentral:lncRNA from 10 species
CCGGGACUGUUGAGCCACUUGCUGGGGCUUCUCCCGUUCUGUGGAGUGUACUUUCGCUCCUAUUGCCUUCCGCUUCAGUAAAUCUAGGCUUUCAUUGCUUGCUCGCGGGUGCUGUUCAAUUCUUUGUUCAACGCACCAAGAACCAGGACAACUCAUGAUUAGAACCUUCCACUCGGUACCAGCUUCUUCUGUUUCAGAGCUAUGUUUCCCAGUGGGCUGCCACAUCUUUGGGUUUCCAGUACUUGGAAUUUUGCUUUCCAGUUGCAGAGCUAAGAAGCCAAUUCACAUUCCAUCGUUGUCCCAAAGUCUUUUUCCUAUUUUGAAUGCCCCAUCUUGUCUGGAUUUAUCAAGGGUCCACAGAUUUACAACUUGAGGUGGCCUGCACCAGACCCACGGGGCAAUAACAGUCUUCCAUUGAAUUCUUUAGCAGUUUCUACAAUUGCAUAAGUUAACAAGAUCAACCUUGCUGGGAAAUGAACAAGCGACCAGGACUGCGUGCAAUUCUACUUGGAGAUCUUCAUAACACCUUAAGGGAAAAAUCCUUUUUGAAAGAAAAACAAGUCUGGGUGGUGCUUGAAAAUUCAGAAGGCAGCUAGAAACUCUGCCAAUUACAACUGGUGAUUGCUGAGUUCUGGAGACAGACUGGGCUUCUGCUUUCUUUUGGUGGAGGUGUCUGCUUGCAGAAAAUUUAUGUUCUGGGAUUUACAACUUCAGGGAGACAAAGGAAACUCCAGCUCAUCUCCCACAUCAUUGAUUGAGAGGACCAUUUUCUGACUGUCUGCACACGUUUCCUAUACUACCCUUUAAUGCAACAAUGGGAUGAAGAGAUGAAGACUUCUAGCAGGCUACCUCAGAAAGGUUGCUGACCAAAGGCUGUAUGGACCAAAAAGUCAUAACACCACCCUGGAUGAAAGGACAUUUACCUAAGGAAUUACCCGCUCUCAAUUCUUCCCAGGUGCAUGUAGUAUAGAUUAAAUAAGGUGGUUGUAUGGCAACAGAGACAUUAUUAGAAACAUUCUUCUUGAAGUUUGACAACAAAGCAGUAGAUGUGUAUCUACUACAGAGUUGUUAGUGAAAAAAG